rnacentral:RNase_P_RNA from 1 species
CGUUCUGUUGAGGAAAGUCCAUACUUCCACAGCCUGUGACGGCUGUAGUGUUCGCGCCUGUCGCAAGACAGGGCGGGAGAGAAAUCUUCCGACGACGGCAACCGCGGCUCCCGUAGUCGCCAGUAGCCCUAAAGUGCCACAGAAACGAUACAGGCCGGCGACGGCCUGGUGCAAAGGUAAACUCCGCGAGGAAGAAACCCAGUGUGUAGGGGAGCCCGUCCGAAAGAAGCGAAUGGAGGGCGGGGACGGCAGCCUGGCUGCCGUCAGAGAAAUGAUUUCCUAAAACAGAAAAUGGCUUAC